rnacentral:rRNA from 1 species
GUGUCAGCAGCCGCGGUAAAACGUAGGAGGCGAGCGUUAUCCGGAUUUACUGGGCGUAAAGCGCGCGCAGGCGGCUUAGUAAGUUGGACGUGAAAGCUCCUGGCUUAACUGGGAGAGGUCGUUCGAAACUGCUAGGCUUGAGGUUGGGAGAGGGGUGUAGAAUUCCCGGUGUAGUGGUGGAAUGCGUAGAUAUCGGGAGGAACACCAGUGGCGAAGGCGGCACCCUGGCCCACACCUGACGCUGAGGUGCGAAAGCGUGGGUAGCAAACAGGAUUAGAAACCCUCGUAGUCC